rnacentral:rRNA from 1 species
UGGGGAAUUUUGCACAAUGGAGGAAACUCUGAUGCAGCGACGCCGCGUGAGUGAUGAAGAUCUUCGGAUUGUAAAACUCUGUCCUUAGUGAAGAUAAUGACAGUAACUAAGAAGCAAGCCCUGGCUAAAUACGUGCCAGCAGCCGCGGUAAUACGUAUGGGGCAAGCGUUGUCCGGAAUUAUUGGGCGUAAAGGGUACGUAGGCGGUUUAAUAAGUCCUAAUUAAAAGGCUAUGGCUCAACCAUAGUAUGGUUAGGAAACUGUUGAACUUGAGUAGAUGAGGGGGAAGUGGAAUUCCAUGUGUAGCGGUGAAAUGCGUAGAUAUAUGGAGGAACACCAAUGGCGAAGGCAACUUUCUGGAAUCAAACUGACGCUGAGGUACGAAGGCGUGGGGAGCAAACAGG